rnacentral:misc_RNA from 1 species
UCUCCGUUGGUGAACCAGCGGAGGGAUCAUUACCGAGUUUACAACUCCCAAACCCCUGUGAACAUACCUAUCGUUGCCUCGGCGGUGCCCGCUCCGGCGGCCCGCCAGAGGACCCCCAAACUCUUGUUUUAUACAGUAUCUUCUGAGUAACACGAUUAAAUAAAUCAAAACUUUCAACAACGGACCUCUUGGUUCUG